AAAUAAUUAAAACAAAUUGAGGAGAGGAACUACUUGUACGACGAAUAGCGGCAGCAAGCUUCAGGUGAUUCUAUUAUUCGAACUUAUCUUAAUUUCAUUAAAAUGUAGGUUUGAUUGAUGUUAAUGUUGGCGAGUGUAAAGGAAAUUGGAAGUGAAAAUGGGUGGCUAUUGGCGUUAGUAUUACGCACUGAUAUGUUGAAAUUUGGAGAAAGUGAGGGACAUAAUAAUAACAUACAGAGAAGUAAUGAUUGAGGAGUAAUGGUGCCAUGACUUUAACUAGUAGGUUAAUUUUCAAUUUGUCCGUUUGCACUAUUGUAAAUAGUUUAAUAAAUUAAUUGAAUUUGAUUUUUGUUUCUAUUGAUUAAAGAUUGGAAGGGUAAUCUCUCAUUAAUUAUUAAUAGUGUAGUACAGAUAACUAUAUACGUAAGUAUUAUAUGUGAGUAUGGGUUGAAACAAUUAAAUUAGAUUGCUUCGUUUUCUCUAGUGUGCUAAGACGUUAGUUUGAUUUAAUUAUUUUCUUUGGUUAUCAUGUUAUACAUUCGGUUUUGACAUAUUGAGAUAGAUAAUUAAAUACUAAAUGUAUUGUAUUACUUGAAUACCAUUAAAGUUAUGAGAAUUGGAGGUAUUAAAACUAAAUAGAUUUGAAAUUUAUAAAAUGUGAAACUUGAUAGAUAAGUGGGUAUCAAGAUUUAGAAAAUUUAUUAUAGAUUUGAGUAGGUUUUCGAGUCUAUGCUAAACCUGUAAUAAUAUGGGUAUUGUUAGUUUCGAAAUCUUACUAUAAUUAUGGACUUGAAUAGAUUGCAUUUAUUUGGAGGCCGAAUGAAAAGGAAAGACUCAUGUUCCGGAGUGACUGUUCGACUAUUUGAGGCAAGUGGAUUUCUAAACUCUUGUUAAGUGUAUGAAAUGCGUGUAUGUCCUUGUGGUAUAUGUUGGGAGUAACGGGAUUGGUGAUGGGUUGACUUAUCCACAUUGAUUAAUUCUAGUGAUGAAAAUAAUGGGGAUAAAAAAGGCAAUGUGAUUAAUUGAUUAUGUUUGUUGUGUUGAGAAAGGGUUGAAGGCUUGUUGAAUCAUGGUUGAUGUAACUUCAUGUUUGUGUGGUUGUGAACUGUGUGAUGUUAUGGAAAUGGUCAUCUCCUCAUUAUAUGUGUGAACUUGUCAUCUGCAUUAUUCUGAGGCAUUGGUUGUGACAAGUGUUAUGUGCAUUGAGAAAGAAUGGGUACUUAAGAGGAUGUACCAUUUCGAGGGACGUAUCGCGCGCCGCGAUGGAUACUAUAUUUCGAGGGACGUAUCGCGCGCCGUGAUGAUUACUAUUAUCGAGGGUCGUGUCGUGCGCCGCGACAGAUUCAUGGACAGAUAUGUCCCCCAUGGGUCCCGGACUGAGAGACAGCGGGUGUGUAUUACUAGGUCAGACAUGCAUCAUUAUACUUGACAUUGCAUUCCAUUGCAUUGCACAUACUUAUCAUUAGUGAACUUGAUAUGGUAUUUUGCUGGUCUUCUGAUUGCCUUUCUGCGGUACUUGUGAUUGAUUAAUAUUGAGCUUGUUAUUGCGGAUAUGUAAUUUGUUGAAGUAUUCUUGUUGAGGAUAUGUAAUUUGUUGAAGUGUUGUUGUUGAGGAUAUGUAAUUUGUCUAAGUGUUGUUGUUGAGCUACGUGCUAUGUAAACUGUGAGCUGUUAGGUUGGGUUGAUUUUAAUGCAGGUUGUAGUUGUGGAGGUUUGGUUGGGGGUGGUAGGAGUACCCGUAUUUCAUCCCCUUAGCUUGUGUUUAGACGUUUACUUGCUGAGUACCGUGUGGUUUGGUACUCACCCCUUGCUUCUACAAAUUUUUGUAGGUUAUGAGCCUGGAUUUUUGUUGUACUUGUCAUUCUCUUCUUUUCCGAGGCUUCUUGGAGAUUUGUCAGGUAGCUGUUUCCAUCGCAGCAGACUUUCUUCUCCUUAAUUAUGAUCUUGUUCUAUUCUAGAAACAAAUUCAUUUGAGACUUGAGUUUUCUUUUGAAUCAAUUGUAAUACUUUAGAGGCUUGUGCACGUGACUACCAGGUUUUGGGGGUUUUAUUAAGUUACUUAUAUUUUACUUCCGCACUUUAUUGUAAUGGUUGAGUUUUAGGCUGACUUGUCUUGGUGGGAUAAGACGAGUGCCAUCACGCCCAGUUUUGGGUCGUGACAAAAUGGUAUCAGAGCCCCAGGUUCAUAGGUCUCACGUGUAUACAAGUCGAGUCUAAGAAGAGUCUCGAGGAUCUUUACGGAGACGUCUUUACUUAUCUUCGAGAAGCUAUGGUGACUUUUAGGAAAAAUCUUCACUUUUUGGAACUCUAUCGUGCGUCUUGGUCUGAUUUUAUUCUUUUCGCUUCAUUCCAUUCCCUCUCAUUAUGUGGUGACUCAUGCAUAGUUUCUCAUGUUAGUAGUUGGUGUCGUGUAUGAUUUGGAUGUUAGAUCUGGUACUUAGGUAUGGUGAUAUAUUUAUGGAACAUAUGUGUGGUUAGAUUUAGAAUGUUUAAAAAAAACUUUAAAGGGGUUGUGUAAGGUUAGUUACCCUAGUGCAUAUUACUUGUGUGGUAUAUGCAAUAUUUAGAGCAGUUUUACAAGGGGGGUAUAACGAUUAAAUGGAUGGAUGAUAAUGGGAAUAUAACUUUCAAAGCUAUAUUUAGUAAAAAGUUCAUAACAUAUAUGAGCUACUUAGUGAAUGAUGAGGUCAAAAUCUCUGUUGUAGUUUCAUAGAUUCAGUGUAUACCAAAGAGGGUUAUGAUAUGACUAUUAAAAUAAUACCGAUUCCUACUUGAAUAGUGUUAUGGAUUGUGUUACUCUUGCUAUGGACCUGAACUACAAAGGAAUGUCUAUCACUUUGGAUGAGUGACUAGUUGAAUUUAGUAGUUUAUUAUAGUUACUUAACGGACAAAAAUGUGUGGGCUAUUUGGGUACAAUCUUCUCGAUAGGUAUGAUGUGUAUUAGUGGUGGAUGUAAUGGACUUUCACGAUAUGGUAUUAGCGGUAUACGAAAAUAGAUAUGUUGAUUGUUAAGUGUGAAUACUAACUACAAAAGGAAUUAUAAGUUGUAUAACAUGAUUGCACAAUGAGUUUGAUGUUGCAUUAACAUUUGAGAAAUCAACUGGUUUGCUACUAUGGAUAUUUGAGUUAAGCAUCAUUUAUAAGAAAGAUUUUAGUGGUGGAUCUUUGGUACGAUAUUGAUGUGUUUAGGUUGUAAAGUGUAUCUCGAGAAUUUUAAAUGAGUGGUGAUAUGAUCGUAAGCUCCAUGAAAGUGAAUCGAUAUUAGGAUGGCAGCAUAUGGGUAAAGGAAGUCCUAAAGAGUAUACUUAUGUGAAGACAAUUAAGAGUUUUAGUAAGGAAGUGCGGAUAAAAGUGGGUUAGUUCUUUGUAUUGGAUUGGUAUAACUGGGUUUAAAGAUUCAUGUUGAUGAAACAGUUCGACUCGAGUGUGGUGAUAAGUUCUUUUAUAGUUUCGAAUUUGGUAACGGGUACCAUUGGAUUUUUAAGAAAGGGUAUGACAAGGUGGAUGGAUAGGCGAUCAAUAAUAAGCUAAGAUGUCCAAAUAUGUAAAUAUUUUCUAUGUAUGAGUUAAUUUCAAUAGAUAAAAGGAUUGAGUUACAUAAUUGAAUUCAAAAUUCAAGUUUUUCAUUGUGAGUUUAGAUUUGUGGUAGUGUGUUUUGUCAAGGUAUGAAUUGGUAAGGGGUAAGAAAUGAUUGAUCACAUUGAGUAUGAAGCAUUUGAAGGACUAAAAAAUAAUUUGAGUAGUAAAUUUGGUUACUUUUGAUUGUUAUACCUAAAUGGGAUUUCAUGUAAUAUUUUUAUUUCAAGGAUAAGAUGAAAAUACCAUAGGUUGUUGGUCAAAGGAUAAUAUUGGUAAGCGAGUCAACCAAAGAAACAAGAGUUGAUGUAUUGAAGAGUUCAAGAUACUCAAAAUUUUGUGCCAUAAGAAGAAUUUAAGCGAAACGAAAGAAUAAGACCUUUCAUUUAGAAUUUUGGUUUGAAGUUGAAGGACGUAUGAAUUUUCAUGUAUAAUAUCUAAUAUGACUAUGGAUGUGAAUUUGUUUGGUGCAGACGUACCAGGUUUUCGUCAGCAAUUUUUAAGAAUGUAGAGUUUUGUUUUGAGUGAAAAAAAAACAGUGUAAUGUGUAAGAUUUUGUGUUGUUAUGUGGGGCUAAUUUAUUCAAAUUAUGAUAGGUAACUUAUUGAUGUUCAACGGUGUGGAUCUACAAUUUUACAUAAUUAAUGAGAAUUUUGAGAAAAUUGAAACUACUUUGUUGACGGGAUGAUACUAGCUGUUUUGAUGUGUUACAUAGGCAUUUGAUGUUGGUUGAUUUUAUAGUAUACAUAAUUAUUGGGUGAUGAAGGAUUUCUCAAAUUUUGGCACAAGGCAUAUGACGAGUGUAAAUGGUAGUUAAAACAUGAUAUCUGAAAGUUUGUAAAGAAUUGACUAUGUGUAACGACCCGUUUAGUCGUUUUGAGCAACAGACUUCAAUUCUGGAAAAACUGGCAGAAGCGACGGACCCUACGACGGACCGUCAAGGGCACGACGGACCGUCGCAGGGUCUCGUUUCAAAACACUUAGAAAAUCUGAAAUUGGGUACUAAAAAUCGACUCUCUGAACUUUGUGACGGAAUGGCAGGACGGACCGUCACAGGUGUGACGGACCGUCACAGACCCUUGGUGGAAAUUUGGGUCUCUGAACUCUGCGACGACCUGCAGGACGGACCGUCGCAGGCACGACGGCCCGUCACAGGUUGCGCAAAUCCCAGGCAGAAUCGGAUUUCCUUACACGUUUUAAGGGACGUUUGGGACUAUUCUUUCCUUAAUUAUAGAUUUCGUGGGUUUAUAUUAAUAACUCAAAUUCUUGGGGGUUAAAAGAGGUAACCCUAAGUUAAUUAGUGGGGUAUUAUUGCCAUCUUUUAUUCUUAAUUAUAUACUAAUUAGGGUAAAAGAAAGAGGGUUUGAAUAAGAAAAUAGAAAGAACAAGAAGGGAGAGAGAGAAACGAUCGAGAAGAAGAGGAAAACGCCAAGCUUUGAGGAUUAACUUGCUUGAUUUCAAUUCUUCGGUGGAGGUAGGUUAUGGUUUCCCUUACGAUAUUCGUAGUAAACUCUUAAUAGAGAAUGAUAUGUAUUCAUAAUAUUGUAAACCCUGCUAUAUGCUUAAUGGUAUGUUUGCAUGAAUAUGAUUAUGUGAUUGUGAUAAGAUAAGCAUGAUGAAAAUAUUGAAUCCCAAAUCUUGAAAAGAAACUUUAAUAUACAUUAUUAAUGAUGAUGCCUUGGUAUAGAAGAAGUCUUGAUGAAUUAAAGUAAUGGGAUUGAUGAUGCCUUGGUAUAGAGAAGGCUUGAUGAUUUACAGAAUGAAAUUAGGGGAUCGGGUGUCACGAACCGACACGUAGAAUUAGGGGAUCGGGUGUCACGAACCGACACGUAGAAUUAGGGGAUCGGGUGUCACGAACCGACACGUAGAAUUAGGGGAUCGGGUGUCACGAACCGACACGUAGAAUUAGGGGAUCGGGUGUCACGAACCGACACGUAGAUUUAGGGGAUCGGGUGUCACGAACCGACACGUAGAUUUAGGGGAUCGGGUGUCACGAACCGACACGUAGAUUUAGGGGAUCGGAGUGUCACGUACCGACACAAGAGGAAUAAUGAAUAUGAGGGAUCGGAGUGUCACGUACCGACACAAGAGAAUUAAAGAUAAUGAAUCUUGAAAGAUGUUAAUAUACUCAAUCUAACGAACAUGAUUCCCAAAUGAGUAUGGUAUAGGGGCUUGAGUCCUCAUGUGUGAACUUGACGGUAAUUGUUAAUGAUAUAGUGCUUGUUGUUGCUACAUGUUGAGUAUCAUAGUUGAUUUUAUGAUAUUACUUGAUAUAUAUUGUUUUCUAUUUUGAGUUGGCCGAUGAUAUCUACUCAGUACCCGUGUUUUGUACUGACCCCUACUUUUAUGUUUUUCUUGUUAUUUGUGGAGUGCAGCAAACGUGCCGUCGUCCUCAACUCAACAGUAAUUCUAGCCAGUCUUCGUCACACCGGAUCUUCAGGGUGAGCUAACGCUUCUAGCUUGGACUGGAUCUUCUCCUCCAUGUCUUGAUGCCUUGAAGUUCCGGCAUGGACUAGCUUCUUAUGUAUUUUUAGCUUCUUAGAAACUCUUAGAGUUAGUAGUUUAAAGUAGAUGUUCUUGUGAUGAUGACUUCCAGGUUUUGGGAAUAAUAGAUGUUGAAUAUUGAUAGUUAUUGAAUUGUUUUAUUAAUGAGUUUAAGUCUUCCGCAUUAUUUUUUGUUGUUAUUACAUUGAAAUGUUAAGGUUUAGAUUGGUUGGUUCGCUCACAUAGGAGGGUAAGUGUGGGUGCCAGUCGCAACCCGGUUUGGGUCGUGACACUAUGGGGGUGAUUUAAUAACUUUAUCUCAAUGGGAAAGUACUAUCAGAUUUGGAAUUAGUAUAUCCAGCCUAGAUGGACUCAUAUCUAUCAUUGGAGCUUAAAUGGAAAGAGAAAGAAUCAUAGAUCGAAAUUUUGAAGACUAUAAUAUGCUUGCUAAGAAGAAUUUUAAACUAGUGACAGUUUUUAUUGAUAUUAAGAGUAUUAGAUCUAAUGGAGUACUGUGAUAAGUUUUGGGGUUUUACAAAUCAAGCAAGUAUAAUAUUAUUAAGGAGACUAGCCAAUUUGAUUGUGAGUGGCAAAAAAAAAAUUAUCAAGGAGAUUAGUCAUAUGAAUGAAAAUAUUUGAUAUGGGCACUAUGGAAGAAGUAUUAAGUGUUAUUCAACCUUGGUUCUGUAUAUUCUAAUAUGACCACCUAUUUCAUUUUGGAUACGAUUUGAAGUGUGAUUAGGUGUUUAUGCCCACACAUGGUUUCAUAUUUUUGGGUAAAUUUCUAGUGGUGGAUCGGGUGUACCGAUCCUGUGAUUAUCCUCUUGGUAGGAUGGCAUUUUUGGUUAGACUUAUUCAUUUCAAUUAUGGAUGCUAUUGUUUGGGAAGUUGAAGUAAAGUAGUGAUUCUACACACACAAUCUUAUUUAAGAGUUCAUAGAAGUGCUACCAUGGAUACCUACAGUUGUCUGAUAGUCUUAGUAUUCAUCUCAUCAUCGAGGUCACGUUUCGAAUAUGUGUGAUUGAAUGAAGGAAGCAUUGGGUAUAGCUCUAUCAUUAUGAAAGGUUGUCUACAAUAAUAGCUAUCGAUAUGACAUUUUGAUAGUGUGGUUCGAGGUUCUAUUAGCUUGAGUGAAUCGCUAGUUAAGUGGUUACUUGAUCUUGUUAUUCUUUGAGUUAGAUAAGCUUGAUUCUCACUUGAUUUGUAUUGAUGUCUAAAGAUCAUAUUUUUAUAGCUUAAGCUCAUGAAAAGACUAUGUUAGGAAAAGGAAAUCUUGAAAGAUCUGUGAUGAUUUGUGCAUUAUGAGUGUGUGGUGGUUGGUUAAAGUCCACUUGGAGUUGUAGCCAAGUAUUGAUUCAUAAUUUCAUCUUGGUUAUGUGAGAAAAGAUCUAUUAUGAUGGUUGUGUUAAGGUCUAGUGGAUGUUACUCUAAUUUGAGUUUAUGGGUUAGCUUGUGGCUUGAUAAUCCCUCCUAAUUUGUAGAUCUUUCAAAUUUUGAUUCCAAAGUUCAGUUCUUAAUAAUUACUCUAGAUGAAAUGGUCUUAAAGAUGAGGUUAUCACUCGGAGAGAUGAAUAUGACUUUGAAAAAUCAUACCUCAGGCUUUUGGUCGUGUUGGUUAGUCCUCCUUCUUCUUCCUUAUGUUCGAGGACGAACAUGGUUUUUAGUGGUGGAUAGUGUAAUGACCCAGAAAGUCAUUUGUGGAAAUUUUCACAAAAUUACCGUUUUAGCCAUCUCGCAGUUGUCUCGAGUAACUUUUGAUCAAUUUGUGAAAUAGAUUUGGAAAUUUUUGAGUUAUUUGUUAAUUUUAAUUGUCUAGUUGAUGAGUGAUGUUAAAUAAAUAAAUUUUUAUUAGGUGGCUGAUGGGUCAAUUCUGUCAUCUAUAUAAUAUCCUUACCACAUGGCCCAUGUGUGAUAAAAAAAAUAGUGAGACUUAUUAAUAUUAAUUUAUUUACUAGCUCACAAUUAUUACCCUAAAUAAUUAAAACAAAUUGAGGAGAGAAACUACUUGUACGACGAAUAGCGGCAGCAAGCUUCAGGUGAUUCUAUUAUUCGAACUUAUCUUAAUUUCAUUAAAAUGUAGGUUUGAUUGAUGUUAAUGUUGGCGAGUGUAAAGGAAAUUGGAAGUGAAAAUGGGUGGCUAUUGGCGUUAGUAUUACGCACUGAUAUGUUGAAAUUUGGAGAAAGUGAGGGACAUAAUAAUAACAUACAGAGAAGUAAUGAUUGAGGAGUAAUGGUGCCAUGACUUUAACUAGUAGGUUAAUUUUCAAUUUGUCCGUUUGCACUAUUGUAAAUAGUUUAAUAAAUUAAUUGAAUUUGAUUUUUGUUUCUAUUGAUUAAAGAUUGGAAGGGUAAUCUCUCAUUAAUUAUUAAUAGUGUAGUACAGAUAACUAUAUACGUAAGUAUUAUAUGUGAGUAUGGGUUGAAACAAUUAAAUUAGAUUGCUUCGUUUUCUCUAGUGUGCUAAGACGUUAGUUUGAUUUAAUUAUUUUCUUUGGUUAUCAUGUUAUACAUUCGGUUUUGACAUAUUGAGAUAGAUAAUUAAAUACUAAAUGUAUUGUAUUACUUGAAUACCAUUAAAGUUAUGAGAAUUGGAGGUAUUAAAACUAAAUAGAUUUGAAAUUUAUAAAAUGUGAAACUUGAUAGAUAAGUGGGUAUCAAGAUUUAGAAAAUUUAUUAUAGAUUUGAGUAGGUUUUCGAGUCUAUGCUAAACCUGUAAUAAUAUGGGUAUUGUUAGUUUCGAAAUCUUACUAUAAUUAUGGACUUGAAUAGAUUGCAUUUAUUUGGAGGCCGAAUGAAAAGGAAAGACUCAUGUUCCGGAGUGACUGUUCGACUAUUUGAGGCAAGUGGAUUUCUAAACUCUUGUUAAGUGUAUGAAAUGCGUGUAUGUCCUUGUGGUAUAUGUUGGGAGUAACGGGAUUGGUGAUGGGUUGACUUAUCCACAUUGAUUAAUUCUAGUGAUGAAAAUAAUGGGGAUAAAAAAAAGGCAAUGUGAUUAAUUGAUUAUGUUUGUUGUGUUGAGAAAGGGUUGAAGGCUUGUUGAAUCAUGGUUGAUGUAACUUCAUGUUUGUGUGGUUGUGAACUGUGUGAUGUUAUGGAAAUGGUCAUCUCCUCAUUAUAUGUGUGAACUUGUCAUCUGCAUUAUUCUGAGGCAUUGGUUGUGACAAGUGUUAUGUGCAUUGAGAAAGAAUGGGUACUUAAGAGGAUGUACCAUUUCGAGGGACGUAUCGCGCGCCGCGAUGGAUACUAUAUUUCGAGGGACGUAUCGCGCGCCGUGAUGGUUACUAUUAUCGAGGGUCGUGUCGUGCGCCGCGACAGAUUCAUGGACAGAUAUGUCCCCCAUGGGUCCCGGACUGAGAGACAGCGGGUGUGUAUUACUAGGUCAGACAUGCAUCAUUAUACUUGACAUUGCAUUCCAUUGCAUUGCACAUACUUAUCAUUAGUGAACUUGAUAUGGUAUUUUGCUGGUCUUCUGAUUGCCUUUCUGCGGAACUUGUGAUUGAUUAAUAUUGAGCUUGUUAUUGCGGAUAUGUAAUUUGUUGAAGUAUUCUUGUUGAGGAUAUGUAAUUUGUUGAAGUGUUGUUGUUGAGGAUAUGUAAUUUGUCUAAGUGUUGUUGUUGAGCUACGUGCUAUGUAAACUGUGAGCUGUUAGGUUGGGUUGAUUUUAAUGCAGGUUGUAGUUGUGGAGGUUUGGUUGGGGGUGGUAGGAGUACCCGUAUUUCAUCCCCUUAGCUUGUGUUUAGACGUUUACUUGCUGAGUACCGUGUGGUUUGGUACUCACCCCUUGCUUCUACAAAUUUUUGUAGGUUAUGAGCCUGGAUUUUUGUUGUACUUGUCAUUCUCUUCUUUUCCGAGGCUUCUUGGAGAUUUGUCAGGUAGUUGUUUCCAUCGCAGCAGACAUUCUUCUCCUUAAUUAUGAUCUUGUUCUAUUCUAGAAACAAAUUCAUUUGAGACUUGAGUUUUCUUUUGACUUUAGAGGCUUGUGCACGUGACUACCAG
rnacentral:lncRNA from 1 species